rnacentral:lncRNA from 1 species
CACAGUUCCUUGGCUGUGCCUACAGACAGCUAAGAACUCUGGCUCUGGGUUGAACUCCCCGGGAGAAAAGUCCUGUCUGCCUCUUUGGACCGUUUGGGGAUCAGAGGGACCAAGACCUGUGAAUACUCAUGAGUGUGCAAAUCCCAGAAGACAGACGUAAAGACCUGAGCGUGUGCCUGCUCUGCCGACAGGUCAGACACCUGCUGUUCUGGAACUUUAUCCAGGUACCUGCACGUCAUGGCAGCUUCUGGCCAAUGAACACGGCUCCCCGCAUUGUCCACGUUGAAUGGCUCAGCAGAAUCCCAUGAAAAUACUGUCCACGUCCCAGGGAUGCAAAUUCAGGUCAUGGCCAUUUUUUUAUUUGACUAUUUUAAACAUCACUGCAGUGAACAUAUGUGUGUGUUCAGAUGUCCCACACAUCUGAGCAUUUUGGUGGGGGAGUUUCCUGGAAAGGGAGUUGCUGCGUCAAAGAAUAUCAAUAACUUAAAGGCAUUUGGUGCAUUCGGCCCAAAGGUGCCCGAGAAGGGUCCACGGGGGAGAAUGACUCCGAGCUCUGUGUCCAUGCCAACGCUGGGGUUUUUACACUUCCUCCAAGAAAUAAUUUUUGAGGUGGGAGAGAAAGUUGCCAAGAAGGUCCCACUUUUAGGAGUGGUAGCUUCCUCCGUGCUCAGUACAAGCUACUAUUUUUCCUUUCCUUUUCUUUCCUUUCCUUCCCUUCCCGUCCCUUCCUGUCCCUUCCCUUUCUUCCUUCCUUCCUUUCUUUCUCUCUUUUUUUUUCUUUCUUUUAGGGCCGAACCCGCAGCAUAUGGAGGUUCCCAGUCUAGGGGUCAAAUCGGAGCUACAGCCACCAGCCUACAAUACAGCCACAGCAAUGCUGGAUCCGAGCCACAUCUGCGACCUACACCACAGCUCAUGGCAACGCCGGAUCCUUAACUCACUGAGCAAGGCCAGGGAUCAAACCCUCAACCUCAUGUUUCCUAGUCAGAUGCAUUUCCACUGCCCCACAAUGGGAACUUCAUCUUUCUUCUUUUUUUUUUUUUUUUAAGGCUGCUCCUGCAGCACAUGGAAGUUCCCAGGCCAGUGGUCUAAUCGGAGCUGCAGAUGCUGUCCUACGCCACAGCCACAGCCACACCAGAUCGGAGCCUCAUCUGCGAGCUGCACCACAGCUUGUGGCAAUGCCGGAUCUUUAACCCACUAAGCAAGGCCAGGGAUCGAAUCUGCAUCCUCACAGAGACAAUUUCGGGUCCUGAACCCGCUGAGCUGCUAUGGGAUUUCCCAGUAUGUGCUGCUGGGCUCUUUGGGAAGGGUAGGUGGCUGGAGGAGGAGGUGGAGGUGGUGCUGUGGGCGGUGGCUCUAUCAGACUUUCCUGGUCAGCUUUCACUGAAAGGCCCCCGACCUGGAAGCCCCCUCUUCCUGAGCAGACCAGGACAGGUGGUCGCCUGCUUCUAGUUUCUGAGACUUGUCUCCUGAGCCCCUGGGGCAGCACGGGGACGCUCUGUGCCUGUCUCUGGGACAUCUGGUCCUGCCAGUGCCUCCCACGAUAGCUUCUGGGAAAGCAUGUGCUGAGAGGCCGCCAGACCACGUGCCCAGGCAGCCUUGGCCUCUGGCUACCAGGGGCUGGCAGCACAGACUGGUCCUCAGUCCUCUGAAUCCAGGAACCUAGGGGACGCUGUGCCCGUUCCCACAAAGAAGGCAUUUGCUUUAAUCCAGCUGGUGAUGGUAUGAAGGCUGGAGACUCACUGAUUCUCACCACUCCCACCCCUGUCCUGCACAGAGGCGCAAAGAGCACAGAGAGGGAGAGCGACUUGGCCAAAGUCACACAGCUCUGAGCAGGCUGGAACCCAGGUCUUCCUACUCCAGUUGGAUGGCUCCCUCUGCCCUGGACCCAGGAUGACCUGCACUACCUGAGAAAACACUUAUCUGCUUUAUCUCCAGACUGUAAAUUUCUAGAAUUUUAUAUAAACAAGAUUG